CGGGAGAACUCUAAAUUAGCGGCAAGAGUCAUCCCGCCGUGCGGGAUUGGUCGCGGGUUCGAAUCCCGUCUCCCGCU
rnacentral:tRNA from 1 species